rnacentral:misc_RNA from 1 species
AAGUCGUAACAAGGUUUCCGUAGGUGAACCUGCGGAAGGAUCAUUACCGAAGUCAAGGCCCCUUCGGGGGCUAAACUUCCACCCUUUGUUUACCUUACCAUUGUUGCUUUGGCGGGCCGCCUUAGGCCACCGGCUCUCGAGCUGGUGCGUGCCCGCCAGAGACCCCCAAACCCAAACCAUAUUUAGUGUCGUCUGAAAACAAGUUUAAAUUAUUUAAAACUUUCAACAACGGAUCUCUUGGUUCUG